UAAUACAGAGGGCGCGAGCGUUGUCCGGAAUCACUGGGCGUAAAGGGCGCGUAGGUGGCCUGCAUAAGGCCGCGGUGAAAGUCUGGGGCUCAACCCCAGAUCGGCCGCGGCGACUGUGCGGCUCGGGUACCGUAGAGGCAGAUGGAAUUCCGGGUGUAGCGGUGGAAUGCGUAGAGAUCCGGAAGAACACCAGUGGCGAAGGCGGUCUGCUGGGCGGUGGGAUCGAAAGGUCUCUUUAACCGACACUGAGGCGCGACAGCGUGGGGAGCAAACAGGAUUAGAUACCCUGGUAGUCCACGCUGUAAACGAUGAGUGCUGGACGUUGGUGGGCUUGCCUGCCGGUGUCGCAGCUAACGCGUUAAGCACUCCGCCUGGGGAGUACGGCCGCAAGGUUG
rnacentral:rRNA from 1 species